rnacentral:rRNA from 1 species
CCGGCACGGGUGAGUAAUACGUAUCCAACCUGCCGUCUACUCUUGGACAGCCUUCUGAAAGGAAGAUUAAUACAAGAUGGCAUCAUGAGUCCGCAUGUUUACAUGAUUAAAGGUAUUCCGGUAGACGAUGGGGAUGCGUUCCAUUAGAUAGUAGGCGGGGUAACGGCCCACCUAGUCUUCGAUGGAUAGGGGUUCUGAGAGGAAGGUCCCCCACAUUGGAACUGAGACACGGUCCAA